rnacentral:sRNA from 1 species
UGGUAAUUUAUUAAACAAUUUUUAUGGUAUAAUUAUGAAUUUUUUUUUUUUUUUUUUUUUUUUUUUUCUUCCUUUCUUAAAAAAAAAUUAAUAUGAAAUGUUUAAUUUUAAUUAUGUUUUGUUCAUUAUGGAAUAUACUAUUCAAAAUUUUAUACGCUUAAAUAUAAUUUGUUAAGACUUAGUAAAUAUAUAUAUCAAUAUAUGUUUUGAAUAAGAAUUACAUGUUCAUCUUAAAAAAUUAAAGUGAUAUUUUUGUAAUAGUUAUAAUUCAUUCUUUUUUGUUUGUUUUUCUUUUCCUCUUUAAGGGCAGACAAAGCUGAUUCUAUUUAUAGUUUUAAAGACCAAGAAUAAUUUACACCUGGGUAAAAAUAAAUAACCCUGAAUAUAUUAAAAUGUCCUACAUUUAUAUAUAUUUAAAAUAUAUAUAAUGUAACCAUGAAUUAUUAAAAGAAAAAAUUAAAAAAAGAACACAAAAGAAAUGAAAAUAAAAUAAAAUAAAAUAAAAAAUGAAAAAAGAAAUGAAAAUAAAAGAAAAGGGAGAAUGUUUUAAAAUUACAUAUAAACAAAUAUAUGUAUAUAUAUAUAUAUAUAUAUGCUUAAAUAUUUGAAUGGUGUCCCUUUCAUUUCACGAAAUAUUUAUGUAUAUUUGUUUUCCUUAUUAAAUAUAUAAUAAAUAAAAUAAAUUCUCUUUUAAUCUUAAUUUUCUUACUAAACUUUUUAUGCUUUAUAUAUGUUAACACCGAGGUCUAUAUAUAAUGAAUAGUUAUUAACAUAUAUAUAUAUAUAUAUAUAUAUAUAUAUUACUUUAAAACGGUUAUGUUUUAUUAUUUUAACUUUAUUUUAAUAUAUAUAUAUAUUUAUAUAUGUAUUUACAAAUAUAGAUAAAAAAUAUUAGACACAUAAACUUAAGUAUAUAUGUACAUAUUUAUAUAUAAGAAAAUUAAAAUAUACUAGUAUUUGUAUAUUUAUAUAUAUGUCUAUAUGGGUAAACGUAUCAAACUAUAUACAUAAAAAUAUAUAUUACUAUAUAUCAUUAUAUAUAUGAACAUAAAUAUAUGUAAAUAUUUAUAUAUUUAAGCAUAUGUUAUAUACAAAAAUAUAUAUAAUCAUACAUAUAUAUAUAUAUAUAUAUAUAACCAUAAACAUUAAAAGAAUAUUUAUGUGGUUGGAUGUGUAUAUAUAAAAAUGUACAAAUAAAUAUAUAUAAACAAAUAUUAACAUACAACGUAAUAACAAAUAAAUAUAUAUAUAUAAAUAAAUAUUAACAUAUGCAUAUUAACAAAUAAAUAUAUUUAUAUAAAUUAUAUAUAUAUAUAUAUGAAUAUACAUGCUUAUCAAAUAAAUGAAUCAUAUAUACAUGAUAUUAUAAACAUUAAUAUAUAUAUAUAUAUAUAUAUAUAUAUAUAUAUAUAUAUAUAUGUAUGUAUAAAUUUAUAUACCUAAAUGUUUAUUUAUGUUUUUUUUCCUUUUUUUUAUGUUUUCUUUUUUAAUAACAUAUAAUUAGAUAUAAAAGAGAUUUUAGUUACAUUCAAUUAAAAGAAAAAAAUAAAUAAUAAUAUUAAUUCAUUUUAUUUAGUAAUAUAUAUAGUUUAUCUGUUAGGAUAAAUAUAUGAAAAAAAUAUAAUAAAUGAAAGAUUUUGAAUAAAUAUAUGUAUAUUUGCUAUGUCGAAUUAUAAUAAACUAAACAAAACAUGCAUCCAUAUGUAAUAUAAUAUAUUUUAUUAAAGAUGUAUAUUAAUAUCAAAAUUAAUAAUAUAGUUCAUUAUCUAAUUAAUGUUUUAAGAAUAUGGUAACUUAAAAAAUUGAAAAUUUUAAAAAUUCUCUGAUAAAAGAAUAUUCGAGCGAUCGAAUUAUCGAAAUAAUGAACCAAAACCAAAAAAAAAAUAAAAAAAAAAGAACAAAAAAAAAAAAAAAAAAAAGUUAAAGAUAAAAUAUAUAUUAAAAAGAAUUUAUAUAAGAAAAAGAAAUUAUAUGCAUCAUAAUUGGGUAGUAACCAAAAUAAAAAUUUUCUUUGGUUACGUUAAUUUUAUUAUUUAUAAAUAAUUAUAUUUUUUUUUAUUACAUGCCCAUUUGGUGUCUUUUUUUAGAAAUAUAUCUUUUGUAAUAUUUGUUAUUUAUAUAUAAUUUAUUUAAUGUUUUUAUUAUAGAAUACUUUUAUUAGUUGCAUCUAAUUCUGGAAGACAUAAAAUGAACAUAUUAUAAAUUUUAUAUAAUCAACAUUGAUUAUUUAUUAUUUGAGUGUAUCCUUAAAAUGUGAAUAAUCCUAAUAUUAUAUAACUUAAAAAAAGCACAUAAGGCCUUUAAAAUUUUUAUAUAAAAUUUAAAAUAAUAUCACAUAUACCUAUCUUCUCUAGAAAUAUAUAGAUAUAAAUAAGAACCCUUCUUAUGUUAUAUAAUGUAAUUUCUUGUUAAAUAAGAAAAAGAAAUACAUGUUCAUAUAUAUAUAUAUAUAUAUAUAUAUAUAUAUACAAGAAAAAAAAAGUAUAUAUAAAUAAUUUAGGAAUAAGUAAUUUAUUUAUGUUAGUUUAUUCUGUAAUUUUAUAUAGGUAACAUAUGUAUAUAUAUCCCUUCAUUAGUUACAUAUAUAUUAGAAAUUAUUUUGUUUAGUAUAAUACUAAUUAAUCAAUAUAAAAUAUUAUAAUAAGAUAUUAUGAUAUAGUUAUAUUAUAUUUAUAUCAAUUUCUUAUUUCACUAUGAUUAUCCAAAUAAAAUACAAAUCAUAACUUAUAUGUUGUAAAAUAUACUAUCUUCCAACAUAUAACACUUUAGAAUAAAAAAUCAAACUAAACAUAAUUAAAAAUUUAUUUAUUUAUUCAUAAUUUUUAUGUUAUUAUAUAUUGUAAAACAUUAAUAUUCUUAACGAAUUAAUAGACACAUCUAAGUUCAUUUAAGAAGAGAUAUAUAUUUUUAGUUAUUUUAUAAUUAUUUAUUAUAAUUUUUUUUUUUUUUAAUAUAUCUAAUUGUAUGUUAUUUAUAAAAAUAACAACAUUUAAAAAUUUUGAUUUAUAUAUGAAUUAUUUCGCCUUCCAUAGUUUCUCUUAGUUUAUCUUAUCUUAUAUUAUAUUAUAUAUUUUCUUUUUUUUAUUUCCUUAUUUAUUAUUUUUCUCUUUAUAUAUAUAUAUAUAUAUAUAUAUAUUAUAUAUUAUUCCAUUCCCAAUUUAAUAUUACAUUUAUUUUAAAACAUAAACAGAA